AUUGAACGCUGGCGGCAUGCCUUACACAUGCAAGUCGAACGGUAACAGGUCUUCGGAUGCUGACGAGUGGCGAACGGGUGAGUAAUACAUCGGAACGUGCCCGAUCGUGGGGGAUAACGCAGCGAAAGCUGUGCUAAUACCGCAUACGAUCUACGGAUGAAAGCGGGGGAUCGCAAGACCUCGCGCGGACGGAGCGGCCGAUGGCAGAUUAGGUAGUUGGUGGGAUAAAAGCUUACCAAGCCGACGAUCUGUAGCUGGUCUGAGAGGACGACCAGCCACACUGGGACUGAGACACGGCCCAGACUCCUACGGGAGGCAGCAGUGGGGAAUUUUGGACAAUGGGGGAAACCCUGAUCCAGCCAUGCCGCGUGCAGGAUGAAGGCCUUCGGGUUGUAAACGUGCUUUGUACGGUAACGAAAAGGUACCGUUUACUAAUUAAAGAAGGGCGUCAUGACGGUACCGUAAGAAUAAGCACCGGCUAACUACGUGCCAGCAGCCGCGGUAACU
rnacentral:rRNA from 1 species